rnacentral:rRNA from 1 species
AAAUUAGUGAGUUUGAUCCUGGCUCAGAAUGAACGCUAUUGGUAUGCUUUAUACAUGCAAGUUGAACGGAAGUAAUUUUCGUAGCGUACGGGUGAGUAAUUACGUAGAAUGUUACCUUUUAGUUGAAGAACAAAAUACUUAAGCUUAAGUAUAAAAUUCUUAGAUAUUUAAUAAAAGUAGUAUAUCUAAUAUUGAUAGUACUAAUCUGCUAAAAGAUAGGUCUGCGAAAGAUUAGGUUGUUGGUUAUUUUAAUAGCUAACCAAGCCUACGAUCUUUAGUUGGUCUUAGACGGACGUGCAACCACAUUGGAACUGAAAUAAGGUCCAAGCUGAUUUUUCGGCCAGCAGUAAGGAAUAUUGGACAAUGAACGAAAGUUUGAUCCAGCAAUACCAACAUGAAUUAAAAAAGAUAGUUAAACUUAAUUAUCGAAGAAGAUCUUUUAUGGUUGUAAGAUUCUUUAGUUAAAAAUGAAAAUGACGUUAUUUAAUCUAAUAAGUCCCGGCUAAUACUCGUGCCAGCAGCCGCGGUAAAACGAGGGGGGCAAGCGUUAUUCGUCUUGACUGGGCGUUAAGGGUUCGUAGACUGUAAAGCAAGUUUUGUGUUAAAAAUCAAAGCUUAACUUUUAUAAAUACAAAGUACUACUUUACUUGAGUUUUAUGCAGGAGAAUAUAAUUUUAUGAGUAAGGGUAAAAUCUAACUAUAAAUAAAGGAAUGUUAUAAGCGAAGGCGAUUCUCUAGUAGAAACUGACGUUGAGGGACGAAAGUAUAAGGAGCAAACAGGAUUAGAGACCCUGGUAGUUUAUACUGUAAAUUAUGAAUGCUGUAAUUUAAUGACAUGGAGACUUUUACUGUAUAGAUUACUUUAUGUAACCGAAAUUUAAUUGUUGAGAAACAAGCAAAAUUCGAAAGUUUUUCUAUGUGUUAUUUGUCACCAAAUAUUGUUUUAAAUUAUUUAAGUUAACACUAUAAGCAUUCCGCCUGAGGAGUACGAUCGCAAGGUUGGAACUCAAAGGAAUUGACGGGAGCUUAACACUAGCAGUGGAGCAUGUGGUUUAAUGCGAUAAUCCGCGCAAAAUCUUACCAAUUUUUGACAUUAAAAAUUUUUAUUUAUCUUAAUUUUAUAAAAAAUAAAUUUUAAUACAGGUGUUGCACGACUGUCGUCAGCUCGUGUCGUGAGAUGUUUGGUUAAUUCCUUUGAACGAGCGUAACUCUUUUCUUUUAUAUAUAAUGUUAAUAGUUUUUUUAAAAAUCAAUUUAAAAAUUGUUUAAAAGAUACAGCCAGUGAUAAACUGGAAAAAGGUGAGAACUAAGUCAAGUCAAUGUGACCCUUAUAAAUUGGGCUACACACGUGCUACAAUGAAAAUUACAAAAAGUUAUCAUAAAGUUUUUUAGUAAAUCUUAAAAGUUUUCGUAGUACGGAUUGUAUACUGCAACUCGUAUACAUGAAGUUGGAAUUGCUAGUAAUCGCGAAUCAGCAUGUCGCGGUGAACAUGUAAAUUAGCUUUGUACACACCGCCCGUCACAUGCAGAAAGUUAGUUUUACUUGAAGGUUUAUUUUUAGUAAGCCCAUUGAGAAAUUGAUAAUUUGGAUGAAGUCGUAACAAGGUAGUGGUACGGGAACGUGUCGCUGGAAAAUAUGUUUG